CUGAGUUGAAACUUUCAGCAUUCACUUCAUCAACCAUGUUUAUUGUAGUUUUGAUUGUAUUUUCACUGCUUAAGGAGAGUGUUCAUGCAAAUACAAUAUCACCAGUCUCAUCAGAAGUGCAUGUUUCAGCUGGAGAAAGUGCUGUUAUCUCCUGCAGUUACACAGGCGUUGCUCCCAGCUUUCAAUGGUAUCGCCAAUAUCCAAGAUCCAGACCACAAUACCUUAUCUUUCAUACAGAGAGCAAUGAGGUAUCUGAACCCACUUUACGUCUCAAAGCAAUCCCAAAUAAACAGUCCUCUCGUGUGGAUCUGGAGAUCUCAUCUGCUGCUGUAUCAGACUCUGCUGUAUAUUACUGUGCCCUGGUGCCCACAGUGACAGGAAACACAACAACACUAUACAAAAACUUCUUUCAUCUGUUCACUUCACAAAAAAUACAACAAAGUUUUCACUGA